GAUUUCAUCAGUUUCAUUGGCCUCAGCUGUCCAGUAGAGAUACCACCCUAGUGUUCAGAUUGUCCCACAGUUUAGUUUCUGAGGAAACCUUCAUGAAGUGUAUAAAUACCAGUCCAGCUUGAGGCUGAUCACAACAGAGGAAAAACACAGCAGAGCGGAGAGCAAAGAAAAAACCAUGGGACUUUUGACAGCUGCAGCAAUUGGAGCAGGUGCAGCAGGGACUGUGAUGGCGGCCCCACUUGUUCUGGGGCUCGUAGGUUUCACCUCAGUUGGAAUUGCAGCAGGCUCACUGGCUGCUAGUAUGAUGUCAGCUUCUGCAGUGGCUAGCGGAGGUGGAGUGGUAGCUGGAGGUGCAGUGGCUGUUCUUCAAUCAAUAGGUAAACAGUAGAUGGUUUCCCAUGGUUUGAGCUGUGUCCUUGAGUGGAUAUCUUUUAAAUCUUGAAGUGUCUCUUGCAAGGUUUCCACCUUUUCUAAUCCACUUAACAUCUGCUGUACCAUAAUUGACAUGCUUAAUCUAAUGCA